AGCAUAUCAAUAAGCGGAGGAAAAGAAACCAACAGGGAUUGCCUCAGUAACGGCGAGUGAAGCGGCAACAGCUCAAAUUUGAAAGCUGGCUCCUUCGGGGCUCGCAUUGUAAUUUGUAGAAGAUGCUUCGGGCGUGGCGCCGGUCUAAGUUCUUUGGAACAAGACGUCAUAGAGGGUGAGAAUCCCGUAUGUGACUGGUUGCUUGCACCUAUGUGAAGCUCUUUCGACGAGUCGAGUUGUUUGGGAAUGCAGCUCUAAAUGGGUGGUGUACUUCAUCUAAAGCUAAAUAUUGGCCAGAGACCGAUAGCGCACAAGUAGAGUGAUCGAAAGAUGAAAAGCACUUUGGAAAGAGAGUUAAACAGUACGUGAAAUUGUUGAAAGGGAAGCGCUUGCAAUCAGACUUGCGCGGCGUCGAUCAGCCUGGGUUCUCCCUGGUGCACUCGGCGCCGCUCAGGCCAGCAUCAGUUUCGGCGGUUGGAUAAAGGCCUAGGGAACGUGGGUCGCUUCGGCGAUCGUUAUAGCCCUAGGUGCAAUGCAGCCUGCUGGGACUGAGGACCGCGCUUCGGCUAGGAUGCUGGCGUAAUGGUUGUAAGCGGCCCGUCUUGAAACACGGACCAAGGAGUCUAACAUCUAUGCGAGUGUUUGGGUGUCAAACCCAUACGCGUAAUGAAAGUGAACGGAGGUGAGAACCCUUAAGGGUGCAUCAUCGACCGAUCCUGAUGUCUUCGGAUGGAUUUGAGUAAGAGCAUAACUGUUAGUACCCGAAAGAUGGUGAACUAUGCCUGAAUAGGGUGAAGCCAGAGGAAACUCUGGUGGAGGCUCGCAGCGGUUCUGACGUGCAAAUCGAUCGUCAAAUUUGGGUAUAGGGGCGAAAGACUAAUCGAACCAUUGAGACCUAGCUACUAGGUGGUUGAGAGGCCUCUAAGGCCUAGUCGCUGCGGCGGCGAUACUGCAAAACUGCGGGGACCGCUCGAUAGGCACAGGCUACCACAGCGAGCUCGAAAGAGCCCGCCACGGUUACAAGGCCUGGCGUCUGAGCCAACCCGCAACCUUCGCCUACCGCCACCCCUACCCGGGGGUGGCCACGGUGCAGGCCCAUCGACUAGAUGGCAGUGGGUGCAUAGCGCCUAAGGGAUAGUCAGACUGCGGCUGCAACGCUGUGGGCAGCUCGCUAGUAGCUGGUUCACGCCGAAGU
rnacentral:rRNA from 1 species